GGCAUAUUUGGCACACCACGUAAAUUGGAAAUAAUCAAGGGCAAUAGGAUAAAACGGCUCCUUCUUCGUUCUAAAAGAGAGCAUCGACGAUAACAAAAAAACACACUCACAGUGCUCCAGUUUAGGUAUAAACGGAUUAUUCCACCGAAUUUAAUUCACAAAAUUGACAUCUUGGGGUUUUGAAGAAAGAUCAAAUUCCAUCGGAGCUUUAAAAGAAAUCUGUUAUCACUCUCUCUUACUCGUCCGAAGAAGAAUUUUGUAAUGGCGAUUAGAUAGCGACGGAUGUGGUGUACCUGAUGGUAAGAUGAAGAAAAAGAAGAGAAGCGAUUCAAGCAAAUGAAAGAAGAUAAAGAAUUAAAGUGAAUCCAUGACGAAAGAAGAUCAGCAGCGUUGUUGCAAGAGAGAGACAUGACAAGCCAUGGUGAUAAACACAAAAUAACAGCAAUGGCAAAAUUGUGCAGGACGACGAGUUUCCUUUUCAAGGUUAGUGGUAACCUAAUUCAAUUAGUAUUUUCAGUUCUGAUGUAGUAUAUCUUUCUCUGUAUCAAUAAUGGUUAUUGAUCCUUUUCCUCUGUAUCAACUUUAACAGUUGAUCCCUUACGUCAGUUUAAGUUUCUUUGUUUUGCAAGUAUUUCCUUUCCUAGUUUUCGUUAAACUCUUUCCUUUUAUCAUCUCAUGUAAACCUAUAUAAAGGCUAGGUCUCUUGUUUACAAGACACAUCUUAUUAUUAUUACUAUUAUUAUUAUUAUUAUCAAAAUUGAUUAUCAAUCUUUACCUUAGAAUCUUAAUCCUAGAAUCAGUUUUCUAUUAAGUUUCUGACGAAACUUAAACCUAUCCCUGUUACCUUUAUCUGUGCUACACUAGUUGGUAUCAGAUACAGAAUUUUUAGAUUUCUAUCUAAAGACAGAUCCUUCACAGCUUCCGCACAAACUCAAAACCCUACCUUUCGUUUCUAUGG